rnacentral:lncRNA from 1 species
UUCAUAUCUCAUAAACUAAGUAUUUAAAUGCCACAAAAUUUAUAUGAAUAGCUUUUUAAUACAAUAAUCUAUCUCUUCCAAAAGGUUUGAGCUAAAAAUUCGUCCAAAAACUCAAAAUAUGGCUCCAACCAUUACUAUGAAUAAAUCAAUUAUUUAUUGCCUUUGAUUUGGAUGUGUUGACUUCAACCCUCUAUAACUUCUUCAUCCAAACUCCAAAUUCAUCAAAAAGUAUAUGAAAAGUGUGGUCAAAGAAGUGCUCUCUCUAAUUUCAAUUACCGAUCCUUUGUUGCUUUCUAUAAAAGUAUGUUAUGCUCAAAGAGUGACAGUAGAUAUGAAAUUGACAUCCUAACUUUGAGUACCAAUAAUUCCUUCAUAAAAACUCCAAAUCAUACAAAAUUUAUACCUAAUCCAUAUCCAAAAAUCUAAACUUACUGAUCUUAGCCUCCAAAGCUCAAAUGACUUCAAAAGAGAAACCCUAAUCCCUAAUAAGGCCUCAAGCAGCCUCCUUGAAGUCCAUUAAGCAUGGCCUUUGACCAAUAGGAAU